rnacentral:rRNA from 1 species
CAAGAAGGAGAGACAAAAGGUUUAGGGAUUAAUAAGGUAUAUGCCCACCCAACAAGCUUGGGGGGACGUACCCU